UAAAACUCAGCUAAUUUUCCUGCACCCUGAAGUGAACCACAUAUACUCAGGAAAAGAGGAACCUGGAGCAUAGAGGGUGGUGUGCAAAAGAGCACAAAAUGGUGCUCCCCCAUCUGCACUCCCCUCAGAAGAAGAGGCAGCUGUUUUGGAUGAGAUAUUCCCCCAUGUGUCUGGCAUGGAGAGCAAACCUCCACUAAUACCAUCAACAUCACUGCACUGAUGAUUAGGUGCUCUAUCGCUCUGCAAGAAAGAGAGAGACCAAGAGGCACAGAGUAAACACAGCCCAGAUGGGUUUACAGGAAUAACAUAAGUGAUACAAACUUAGAUGUGAAAAAGAAGCGAGAAAAGGGUGGGAUGGGCUUUUCUUCUAUUUUAGCUUGCCAAUAAUCACAUUUCUGAGUGAAUCUGGAUCAAUACAAGGUCCUCCAGCCUUAUUCAGCUUGGGAUUAUUUUAAGACAGCAAGUCAUGCUGAGAUUACAAACAUCACAGUUGCUGACAAGGACACCAGCAGAGCAAACACUCUGACAUCUGCAUCCUCUUCAUCAUCAUACAGCCAGCCAACAUCCGCUACCCAUUAGGAUAUGGAACUCCUUGUACACUAUA